rnacentral:tRNA from 1 species
GCCUGGGUGGCUCAGUUGGUUAAGCGUCUGACUUUGGAUCAGGUCAUGAUCUCACAGUUUGUGGGUUCGAGCCCCAUGUUGGGCU